rnacentral:lncRNA from 1 species
AAAAAAAAUGUGAGCUGUUACUGGUGGUAGUGGUGGUACUAAUGCAUGAAAGUCAAGAUAACCUUUUCACAGUCAGAGUCAGUGGAACCGGCUGCUGAUGGUACCUGCGGAUGCUGCAAUGUUACCGGUGCAGGCAGUGGUUCCACGAGGCCUGCACCCAGUGCCUCAAUGAGCCCAUGAUGUUUGGAGACCGGUUUUACCUGUUCUUCUGCUCCGUGUGUAACCAGGGCCCAGAGUACAUCGAGAGGCUGCCCCUGCGAUGGUGAGAGGGUGGGGCUUAGUCCAACCACCGCUGCUCCUCCCAGCUUCUCCCCUCCCUCCUCCCUCCUGGAACAAUUCCAUUUCCAGCUACUGGGUCCCAACCCUGCCCCUGUCUCUCAGCCUGGACCCAGAAAGCUGUGACCCUGGCUGAGCAGGCUGCCACCUCACCUGGUCCCACCUCCUUGCCCCCUUGCCCAGGGUGGAUGUGGUUCACCUGGCCCUCUAUAAUCUGGGGGUACAGAGCA